AAGUAUUGACAAUUUUAUCCGUGCUGUGAAGAGUCAGAAUAUCUUUGCAGAAACAGCCACUGUUAGUAGUGUCAGUGACCAGCUAGUACACAAUGGCGCUAUUAAAGUGGCCCAGGAAAAGGAGAAAUACAGGUUCACUCUUAUGUGUCAUAUGGAAGUAAACAACUGCUUUCCAGUGCUUGUCAACAUCAUCAGCAAUGCACUUUUGCAAAUGUUUAAUUCUACUUCCCAUAUUCGAAUCUGGAAUCAUGUAUUUUAUUAUCCUAGAGUCACUGAUCUGUGGCUUUACUUUGCUGAAGCAAACUUUUUGGGAAUUAUUGUUUUAUUUCCUGCUUUUGCCCCACACUUUGCAAUGAACAGCGUUCAUGACUACAAG